UACGUAGGGGGCAAGCGUUGUCCGGAAUCAUUGGGCGUAAAGCGCGUGUAGGCGGCUUGGUAAGUCUGGUGUGAAACCUCGGGGCUCAACCCCGAGCCUGCACUGGAUACUGCCUCGCUCGAGUCCGGGAGGGGAGAGCGGAAUUCCUAGUGUAGCGGUGAAAUGCGCAGAUAUUAGGAAGAACACCGGUGGCGAAGGCGGCUCUCUGGAACGGUACUGACGCUGAGACGCGAAAGCGUGGGGAGCAAACAGG
rnacentral:rRNA from 2 species